rnacentral:miRNA from 9 species
CAAUAAGUCACUAUCUUCCCAA